rnacentral:tRNA from 4 species
GGGCGAUUAGCUCAGUGGGAGAGCGCUACCUUGACACGGUAGAGGUCACUGGUUCAAUCCCAGUAUCGCCCAC